rnacentral:rRNA from 1 species
AGCCCUGGAAACGGGGUCUAAUACCGGAUACGACCUGCUACCGCAUGGUGGCGGGUGGAAAGCUCCGGCGGUGAAGGAUGAGCCCGCGGCCUAUCAGCUUGUUGGUGAGGUAAUGGCUCACCAAGGCGACGACGGGUAGCCGGCCUGAGAGGGCGACCGGCCACACUGGGACUGAGACACGGCCCAGACUCCUACGGGAGGCAGCAGUGGGGAAUAUUGCACAAUGGGCGAAAGCCUGAUGCAGCGACGCCGCGUGAGGGAUGACGGCCUUCGGGUUGUAAACCUCUUUCAGCAGGGAAGAAGCGAGAGUGACGGUACCUGCAGAAGAAGCGCCGGCUAACUACGUGCCAGCAGCCGCGGUAAUACGUAGGGCGCAAGCGUUGUCCGGAAUUAUUGGGCGUAAAGAGCUCGUAGGCGGCUUGUCACGUCGAUUGUGAAAGCCCGAGGCUUAACCUCGGGUCUGCAGUCGAUACGGGCUAGCUAGAGUGUGGUAGGGGAGAUCGGAAUUCCUGGUGUAGCGGUGAAAUGCGCAGAUAUCAGGAGGAACACCGGUGGCGAAGGCGGAUCUCUGGGCCAUUACUGACGCUGAGGAGCGAAAGCGUGGGGAGCGAACAGGAUUAGAUACCCUGGUAGUCCACGCCGUAAACGGUGGGAACUAGGUGUUGGCGACAUUCCACGUCGU